UUUCUUUUUUUUUCUUUUAAGUUUCUCUCAGUUUCUCUAGCAGAAGUAUUAGGUUUAGCGGCCGCUUCUUCUUCUUCCUCUCGGUCACAAGCGAUUGUUUUUCAGAUUCUCGGUUUCAAUAUCAUCCAUGAUCAACGAAUACAACAACAAGUAACUCGGUAACCCAAUAUUGGGUGCUUAUCCAGUACCAGAGGAGUUUGAUGAUACAAUGAUGCUUGACUAAUGAAGUAAUGGUUGUUGAAGUUCAUAUCUUGUUGCAGACUUGAGAUGGAAAGGAACUAUGGUCUAUGGAAGUGCUGGUUUACAUUUAACACUUUAUGUUAAUCUUUGAACACUAUUUUCCUUCGGUAAUUAUGUACACAUGUAGUAGUUAUGUUAGUUGGUCACUUGGUCUUGAUCUUGAAGAACUUAAGUAGUUGGAUGAUUGCAGUACUCUUGCAAACUUGGAAGAAUUGCGGUAACUUUACUUUGAACUUAUGUCAGACUUUGAAGUUGGUUUUUAUCAGUUUAUGUAAUUAUGUUAGUUGGUUUUAAAGAACUUAUGUUAAUUAUGUCUAUGUUGUUAUGUUAUUAUGUUGUAUG